rnacentral:rRNA from 1 species
AGCGAACGCUGGCGGCAGGCCUAACACAUGCAAGUCGAGCGCCCCGCAAGGGGAGCGGCAGACGGGAGAGUAACACGUGGGAACGUACCCUUCAGUUCGGAACAACCCAGGGAAACUUGGGCUAAUACCGGAUACGUCCGUAAGGAGAAAGAUUUAUCGCUGAAGGAUCGGCCCGCGUCUGAUUAGCUAGUUGGUGAGGUAACGGCUCACCAAGGCGACGAUCAGUAGCUGGUCUGAGAGGAUGAUCAGCCUCACUGGGACUGAGACACGGCCCAGACUCCUACGGGAGGCAGCAGUGGGGAAUAUUGGACAAUGGGCGCAAGCCUGAUCCAGCCAUGCCGCGUGGAUGAUGAAGGCCCUAGGGUUGUAAAGUCCUUUCGGCGGGGAAGAUAAUGACGGUACCCGCAGAAGAAGCCCCGGCUAACUUCGUGCCAGCAGCCGCGGUAAUAAUA